rnacentral:rRNA from 1 species
AUACGUAGGGGGCAAGCGUUGUCCGGAAUUAUUGGGCGUAAAGCGCGCGCAGGCGGUCUGGAAAGUCGGAUGUGAAACCUCGGGGCUCACCCCCGAGCCUGCAUACGAAACUUCCAGACUUGAGAGUAAGAGAGGGGAGUGGAAUUCCUAGUGUAGCGGUGAAAUGCGUAGAUAUUAGGAGGAACACCAGUGGCGAAGGCGACUCCCUGGCUUACCACUGACGCUGAGGCGCGAAAGCGUGGGUAGC